rnacentral:misc_RNA from 1 species
CUUCAAAUGUUAUACAGAAUGAAAAUGGGGGCAAUAAGGAAAACAAUCAUAGAAUCAAAACUCAUGACCUUCACAGAGAGAAGAAUAUGAAAAAUCAAAACCUUAUCUUCCAAUAAAAGAAUGCAAAAACUUCAAAUAUUAUAAAAAUGAAAAUGGGGGCAAAGGGAACAUUACAAAAGGAGGAGAUCCAGUGGGUUUUAGGGUUCAUUCUCGUAGUUGAGAGGAAUGGAAUUCUACUUCAAGAUUCAUCAACUUCUACAUCUAGACAAUUGGUUCAUCUUACACCCCACUGUUGUUUACAGAAGAACCACAACAACUUCCAAAAUCUCCAAAUCUCUUUCCUAGCCAAAAAAUGAAGCAAACGACUUGCAGCAACACAAUGGCAGUCAUGACCAUUGCCACUACAAAAGGGACAUUGUAUAUAGUUGGUCCAAUGUAAAAUACUGUGAUCAGAAAGCUACCAGAUGUGGCUAGGACAGCUAUCCUCAGAAGAUUCUUGAGAGGAAAUCCACUUGUGAGCAUUAGGAUCAUAGCAAUUGAAGAAAAGAAUCCGACCAAGUUCAAAAUCAUAAGUGUAACGAAAAUCACAAGAUCAGAUGCUACUGCAGCCAUUCCAUUUGAAUGUUCUUGGAACCCAUAAUCAUUAUUAAAACCACCUGGGGGACUUAAAACUGAUUGAAAGGUGACAGUUGCAAUCAGUACUGCCACAACCAUCACUGCACUUCGCAACUCUGAGGUUGAAUUUUCUAUUUCCUUUUUCAUUUUUGCCCAUAUCUUACAAGUAAACAAGGAGGAAACAUACUCACGCAGUUUCCUAGGAAGACAAUGGAAACAUACCGUAAGAUUUGCAUGUUGAGGUAUAACAAUAUCUUGGCUUCUAAGUGCUCCUGCAUGUUGAAGCAUGCUGCGGAUGCUAUUCCCAUUUGCUUCUGCCCCACUUAUAGCAUUUUCUGGAACAUCAGACAUGUCAAGCGCAGUUAAAUUGUUCGUGUUCUUGACGUUCACAUCCACUUUAUCUAUAGCAAUGGCACCAUCCUUGCCCAACAGGACUUUAACAAUUCUGUGCAGCUUUCUAGAUGUUGCAAGAUGGAGAAUUGUAUUGCCUUGGCAGUCCUGAGCAUUUAGCAUAUCUUUCAGCUCUUGUUGGUUUUGUGCCUUCAACUUCCAAACAAGCUCUCGGAAAACUUCAAACUGGCAAUUCUUCACUGCAAGGUGAAACACAGACUCUCCUUCAUGCGUCAAAUCAUUCUUGCACUCAGGAACCGCUGUGAUCAAUUCAAGUACAACAUCAAUACUCCCUGUAAUUACAGCAAAAUGAAGUGCUGUUCUUCCAUCUCCACUUCUAAGAUGACUCAUCAUUUCCCCGCCUCUUUGCAGGAGCACUCUUACUAUCUCUGUGUACCCAUUAGCCGAAGCAAUGUGAAUUGGGCUAAAACCAUCUCUGUUUAGUCUCUCAGCCAGUUCAGGCUUGAGGGUCAUUAACUCCUCCACGAAAUUGAGUUUCCCAGCUAAUGUCGCAAUGUGCAGAGCAGUAUCCGCUGUGCUAGCUAGAGAACUGCGAGCAAGAAUUAGCUCAUCCUCGUCGAUUAAGGCAUGUAAUUCAUUGGCGUCUCCCAUUUGUGCUGCCUUAAAAAGCCUUCCAAUUAGAUCCAUUCUCUCAGGCAAGGUAAGGCUCUUGUAGAAAUACUUCACUGUCAUAAACUUGCAUAAAUCUUCCAAAACAAAGCAUAGCAAUAGAGCUUGACUCAGCUUUCAAAGUCUUCCUCAACUUUCAUUGACUUGGCCAGACUUCCGCUUCCACUUGGUUCGGAAAUUGGGUGGAAACUGGAAUAAUCU